UACGGAGGGUGCAAGCGUUAUCCGGAUUCACUGGGUUUAAAGGGUGCGUAGGUGGGUUGCCAAGUCCGUGGUGAAAUCCCCGAGCUUAACUCGGGAACUGCCGUGGAUACUGGUAGCCUUGAAUAUCGUGGAGGUAAGCGGAAUAUGUCAUGUAGCGGUGAAAUGCAUAGAUAUGACAUAGAACACCAAUAGCGAAGGCAGCUUACUACACGAUCAUUGACGCUGAGGCACGAAAGCGUGGGGAGCAAACAGG
rnacentral:rRNA from 1 species